GCUGGUUUGGCUCAGUGGAUAGAGCAUCAGACUGUAGACUGAAGGGUCCCGGGUUCGAUUCCCAGUCAGGA
rnacentral:tRNA from 1 species